GCCAUCACCGACACCGCCGUAGACUGCGUCCUGGUCUGGCUUCUUAGCCCUUGUUCGCCGCACGACCCGGCAGCGUGUCCUCGCUUCUCCCUCCUCUGGUCCUCCUUCCUCCACAUCCAGCGGCGCCUCCUCCCUAUUCGCCCACAGCCUCCUGUACCUCAUCGCCGUCCGCCGGCUGCUCGCCCACCGCAUCCUCGCCCAGCACCUCGUGUAGCCAUAUCCCGGAGCUGGAAGACGCCACCCGAUGCCGGCGCACUUAUAGCAGCCACGGCGGCUGGCCAUGAGGAGGAGGAGGAAACCCUCGGCCACGGAUUCGAGCGCUUCGAUGCUGCCAUAGCCGUGGCCUCCGAGCCGAGCUCCUCAUGUGGGACUGCACUCAGAUUGACCUUGCUGCCACCGUCUCUUUAGGGGAACAGGUCUGUUAAGGAAAGGAAAAUAAAAGGAAUAAGCUGCAGUAAAAUUUUGUCAAAUCACCACUUAGGAAGAAGAGGCCGGUGAACGUGCUCAUGGACCAGCUUGGCCUGCAGGACCCAGCCAAUACUGUGUCAAGUGUUGGUGCGUGGUCGCAUGGACACCAUCGACACACAUAGGAACGGUUCGGUUCAGCAGCUGCAAAGCACAUCCAGCAGGUGCGACCUCCAUGCUCGGGUAACAACAACGAUCAGCAUGCCAUGCAGGUAAAACAAAUAGGAAAAUUGACGUUGCUCUCCACACGGAAGCCUACAAUCAUGAACUUCUCCAGUUUUGCAAAGUUUGGAGAUGAUUGAAAUCUGCAUGCAUAGAAGCAUUUGAAGUAAAUCAGGUUUGAAUGGUAGGUACCAUAUGGUAGGAAAUAUGUUAGGUAUGGUGGUCUUCAUGAGAUGCAUAUUUCAUCAUAAGCUGCCCUGAAAGAGGUAAUAUGUAGUCUCAAGUAAGAGCUUACU